UCUGCCCUCACAGAGCACACUGUCUGGUUGGGAGUGACAAGACAAACACCCAGAAAGAGAAAACAUACAGUCACUUUGUGAUUUCAUAACCUGGUCAAAAGGAUUUGUUAUACAGGAAUUCCUGGGAAGGGGAGGUCAGAGUGGUCUGGGGCAGUUGGGAAGGGCUGUCUAGAAGAGGGGGCUCUAGAGCUACCCCUGAAAGAUGAAUAUUAGAAAGAGCAGGGGGAGGAAAGAGGUUUGGGCUGGAAGGGAUGAUGUGGGCAAAGGUGCACGGGCAGGAACAGAGAUGGGAUCUUGUGUGUGUGCGUGUGUACAUGUGUGCAUUGGCGUGUGCUCGUGUGUGUGCUAGGAGCAGAGAGAGGGCGAGGAGACCUCAGGGCGGCUGUCUGCCGUGAGCGCAGGUGGGCAGGACCCGCAGCUGGGGCUGGACUCGAGUGAAGGCACACAGCUUAGAUUUUAGAAGAACCUCGGUGGGAGAAACCCAGUGGUGAUGUCUGUAACAAAAGAUUUUCCCCUGGAAGGUGGCGGCACAGCUCCGAGACUGAGAAUCAGUGAGAAAAUGCUGCACCUCCCAGACUUUCUCGAACUCUGUGUCACAAGUACACAAGCACUGAGCACCCAGGCAGGCCAGGGCCCUUGACGCCUCCGUGACAUUAUCUCUGAGUCUAUAAAGUGAAGAGACCGACAGGACCCACCUAACUGGAUUGCCGGAGGACAAAAGUUGAUGCAUAUGAACUGCCUGGUGUGCACAGGCUCAAUAAAGAUGAGGAUGCUCGAGCCUCCUGCACAGGCUGCUGGCCCCACACCCAGUCACGGAGCCCAGCACGGGCCCAGGGGCGAGGGGUGGAGCAGGAGCAGCUGGGGAAGGAUAUGGGGAGACUGGCCUGGCU